AUCACCUGGUGUCCGGCCUUUCCUAGAAACUUCUUGCAUCACCACUUCUAAGAACCCCAGUUCUAAGAAUCAACAGAGCUCAAUUCUCGGAAUUUGAGCUUCGGACUUUACCACUGCUACGUGGCAGGGGAGGACUUGGUGUCAGCUCUCUGAGCUUUUUACCUCCCCUGGCCGAUCAAAAGCCCUCAAAGCCACAAGAUUUUUUCACUGUCCGGCAUAUUUCGAGGUCCUCAUAAGCAGAAUGUCUCGGAUUUGGAGGUUCCGGUUCGAGGUUCGAGGGGCCUGAAUGUGGCUCUCCCUCCCCGGACCCAUGACGAUGGUAUGGCCUGCUCCGCCACCGUCACGUGGGCUCCUCCUCUGUGACGUCGGCGCCUUCGCUGUAGCAAAGCUCGGCCUCUGGAAUUCUGAGAACUAAUUUGCUAUUCGGUGACAUAAGAGGGGGAGUGCGCUUUGCUUUCCCUGGGUCUGGGGCUAAUUCCUCCUCUCUUACCCAUAAACUCAGCAGAUCGAGCUAAAUGCACAAAAGGGAGCGAGAGGUUUGAACCACUGGAAAAAGUAUGUUAUAUAUAGUAGGGUUAGAGAGGCAAGUAAGAGAGAGAGAGAGAGAAAAAAAAAAAAAAAAAAAAACAAUAAACACCACAGCUCUUUCCAGCUAGAAUAUUAGGCACCACGAGAAAAAUAUUUGCCAAGCAGUUUUCGGUGGGUUCAUUUGCUUUAUUUUUAUUUAGGACAGGGGUUUUUGCUGUCGUUCUGGGGUUUUUUCUUUCUGGUGUGGUGGCUUGGGAUUUUUGGUUGCUGUAUUUUGAUGGUUUAUGGAUUUUUGCUUCUGAUUUUUUGCCUUUUGCAAGUUUGUGGUGUUACGUAAAUCAUAGGAUCGGCAUCGGUUGGAUUUUUUUGUGCGUGCCUUUUCUUUCCCUAUCUAAUCCCUCAAGCGUUUUAAAGAAGAUGUGUUAUUUCAAUACUAACACUGUUGAAAGAAGCUUAAAUUUUUGGCCAUAUGUAACAAUCCCAGCCCCCACUUUUUUUUUUUUCCUUUGGUGCAAUUUUCUUUUUCCCCUUGGACUUUUGCUGAAGUGUGUCUCUCCUGCACUUGAGAGAAAUGUUCAAAGGAUUUGUUUUGGUUUGGUUUGUUUCUUUCCAGGACAGCAAGUGGUGUGUUUAAUCUGUUAUUGUUGACUCUGAGGAAAUUUCUUGUUGCAAGAAACGUGUGUGUGUGUGUGUGUGUGUGUGUGUGUGUGUGUAGGGGGUAGGGGGGUAUGUGUGUGUGUUUUCUACAAAAUUCUGUGAGCCACAUACCUGUUUGUGUUUUGUUUUCUCUUAAGGUCUUGAUAGUUUUUUUCGGGGCUCGUUUCAAGGUCGUUGUAAAAAAAUCUCUUCAGUUUGUGUUUAAGAGAUCAGCCGGAGGGAAUUCUAAAGGCCUGCCGUGCCAGUAUCACAGAUACUGCCUGUAUUUAGAACAGACUGCUACAACUACAACGCACUACACGCAGCACAGUCGUCUUAGCUUUGAAGCUGAGUUGGGGGUGGGGGGGGGGGAGAGAAGAAGGGGAAAAUCUUUCCUUCUCUUUUUCUCUAUUACUUUCUUUUUAAAGGCAAUUGCAGUGCAGAAUCAUUUCAUUGUGGGUCCUAGUUUGUUUGUUCAGAGCUGCUAGUUUCCUUAUUUAAAUGUUGGUUGGGGUUUUUUCCCCUCCUACUCAUCCCUGAAUAAGGGAGACUCUUGUUUCUUUUAUGUCUCUCUCUUAAAAGAAGGGUGUGAGGGGAAAAUAAUAUUUCAGAUUCCUCAAGAAUUAGCCCAAAAUGUUUGGACCAGAAGCAGCUUUCAAAGGUCAGGCUGUUCUGAGCCUUGGCUAUGAGAGUCCUUCAAGCGACUUAUUAAAUUACAGAUGAGUUCUUAAAGGUUCCACAAAAUCUCGUCACUUGUUAAUUUCUAAUAAAGAUAUGUCUUAAAAUAAUCUACCUAUCCCAACCCAAAAUUUGGGUUUAUAAUGGAGGAGAGAUCAGAGCUGUGAAAGAUUGCUGUUUGCUGGGAUAUUUGGAAAAUCUCUUUCAUUUACAGUCCUGUAAGAAGUUCCAUGUAUCACUGAAAAUGUUGUUGGCAAUGCACCCCACUACCCCACAACACACACACACAUUUUUAAAGGCUGUAUUUUAGGUUUUAAAACCCAGAAAGGUGCAAAAAGGUUGAUUAUUUUCUACAAGGGCUGGAGCUUAGGAAACAUGCGUUGAGUGUCUGUCCCUGUGAAAUUUGAAUAUUUUAAUACUUAUUGACAGAUGGAUUACUGCAGCCUCUGCAGAAAAGCCUGUCUUGUGAAGGGUUUUUGAAAAAUGUACAUAGGCCUAAUCCUGUCACUGUUGUUGAAAUGUACGUUUUACCCCCAAAGACACAUGAUAUUGUCAAGUUCAGAUUUAUUCUGCCAGAAGGCAGACUAUCUGCUUUUUCAUUUGAGUCCCCUUCCUUCUCAUUUUCAAAGAGAUUAAAAUGAACCCCACUGGAUGCAAAAUGACACCCCGACUUUGCGGAAGGGAUUUUCCUUGUGUGUUUAUAUGUGUGAUAAUUUUUUCUUUUAUGAGCAAUUAGCACUUUGGGAUUUCUGAGAUUUAUCUAUAUGGUUUGGAAUGUGAAUUGUAUAGCUCUGCCCUAUUAUUGGUCCUUCAAAAGAUUACUUUUCUGAUUUUUGGUCACAUAUUUUUUUUGUCAAAACUGCCAUUUAGCCUCAUCCACCGCCCCCCCAAACCUGAAACACACACAGCUUGUCCCUCCUGUGUUCCCUUUGCCACUCCACUCUUAGCCCCAUGGGGGCGCUGCAGAGCAAAGGGAAAUCUGCUCCCUAAGGCAGUAGUAGAACCAGCCGGAGUGGGGGCUGGGAAAGAAUUCACCCUUCUCAUACCUCAGCCCUCUUUAAUUCUCUGCAGUGAGCCCCUAGAGGGAGAACCCACCAGGCCUGGUUUAUAUAUAAUUAACCUCAUCACCAGGGACCUCAGAUCUUCCCAGCACAUUAUUUGUGGGACCAAGUGCCAGAGUGCCACAUUUUCCUACUGCUUUUUGCCAAAUCAAUGUGUUUACACUGAAAGAAAUUGACCAGAACAGAAGACCAGUUAGAAAGAAAGAGAAAAUGAUUAUUGAAAUUGUUCUAAAGAUAGACACUUACUUUUCGGUGAGUCUCUUUUACUUUCAAUUGAAUGCAUGUUGAGGAAAAUUGUGCACCCGCCUCUCAAUCUCUUUUCAAUUCCUAGGAAAGUAACUUUGUCAAAUAUUAUACCAGUUGAAUUUCUUCCAGAAUGUCAUUUCUUCUUUCGUUCUUGACCUCUCCUCAGUAACCAGUAGGCAUCACUAUGUGGGCCUCCCUCACUCCUGCAGUGCCGUGUUACAGGAUUAAAGAAAGGGCUGACUUGAAUGUAUUCUGAUUCUUUUAAAUCAUCCUUAAGAAGCUCUAAAGAGUGAUUCCAUGUCUGGGGUCGUAUGAAUAAUUCCUGCAGACUUGGGGGUACUACAAAUCACCUAGUCCCAUUAUUUAAUGGUUACUGGAGGUUAAUACUCAGAAUAGAGGACCAGGCCAACCUCUUUGCCUCAUGGACUGUGCAUAAGAAUAGGUCCCUGAUCAUUGCCGCUGGGUAAAUAUAAGCCUUAUUACAAAAUAAAAUACCCUGGUCCUAAUACUACAUCUAUUUAAGGAAAAGAACAGACUUCACAUCCAAUUCCCCCUUGCAAAAUCUUCCCCACAAUUCAGUCAUAGCCGAAAAAGAACCUAUCCUUGAAACAAACAGGGUUCUGUCCUCUUUCUAAGGGGGCUCACAAGAGGAAGUUGUUUUCACCUAUCAAGAACCUCUGGCACCUUGGUAGGUCUUUAAGAUAUCACAUCACAGGACUAUAGAUUUUAAAGCUGGAAAGAAGUUUUCAAAUCAAUCACCUCCUCUAGGUUUUCUUCUUUCAGGAUUACAGGCUGGGUCCUCACUAGGAGGAUGUGUGACCCGAGGAACACAACUGAAAAUGGGUCUGCAUGAUUUGCUGGCCCUCUGUCAUUUUAGAGGAUCAGGGUAACCUGACAACUGGAGUCUGUAGGACUGAAAGAAGAUGACCAUCAUAUGCAAGUUUUGUGUGUGGAUUCCAGUGUAGGACCACAGGCUCCUAUGACACCAUGAUUGAAUGCUGUUAACAAAUAUAGGAUUGUUUUAUGCAUAGUGCAAUUGUAUUGUAGUUGUGUGUGUGCUGGUGUUAAAAAUAUAAGAUUUAAAAUAUA